rnacentral:lncRNA from 1 species
AUGUGUGAAUUCAACAUUUUUAACAUCUUUUUUUUCUUUUUUUUUAAUUAUUAUACUUUAAGUUCUAGGGUACAUGUGCAUAACAUGCAGGUUUAUUACAUAUGUAUACUUGUGCCAUGUUGGUGUGCUGCACCCAUCAAAUCGUCAGAACCCAUCAACACGUCAUUUACAUCAGGUGAGGUGAUGCCUAGCCCUGCUUCAGCUCUCGCUGGUCGGGCUGCAGCAGCUGACCAGCACCGACUGUCCCGCACUCCCUAGUGAGAUGAACCCAGUACCUCAGUUGAAAAUGCAGAAAUCACCUGUCUUCUGUGUCGCUCGCGCUGGGAGUUGGAGACUGGAGCUGUUCCUAUUCGGCCAUCUUGCUCUGCCCCCCAACAUCUUUUAACAAGGUAUCAUAUACAUGUUAACCUUGAUUUUCAAACCAAAAUCAGUGUGUAUAAAAUUUCAAAAGUCUUUGAUAAAUUCCUCAGGAUUUUAAGCUGCAUGAUUAUUAAAUGAGAUUCAGAGGCCCUUCUCAAGAGAUCACAAAAGAAAAAUGGGAAAAAGGUAAAUUGGGAUAAAGCAAAAAUGACUUUGUGGGGAUGGGCAUUUCUGUGAUAGAAGUGGAGACAUUAGCACUGCCAUCAAGGUGGGGUUAGGAUUGGAGAGGAUUACAACGUCAGUGGGUUGGACAGCACUGGGGCAGGAGACCUCAGGAGUCAGGAGGGAUGAGAUCAUCAAGAAGGGGAGACACCUGUGUUCAAAAUCCUUACUCUGUAAAGAAAUUAGACCAGUCUUUCUAGUUCUAAGUUUGUAUGAUUAUCAAAUUUAUUUAUUUUGAGACAGAAUCUCACUCUGUUGCCCAGGCUGGAAUGCAGUGGUGGUGCGAUCUUGGCUCACUGCAACCUCUGCCUCCCAAGUUCAAGUGAUUUUCCUGCCUCAGCCUCCUGAGUAGCAGGGAUUACAGGCACACGCCACCACGCCUGGCUAAUUUUUGUAUUUUCAGUAGAGAUGGGGUUUCACCAUGUUGGUCAGACUGGUCUCGAACCCCUGACCUCAUGAUCCUCCAGCCUCAGCCUCUCAAAAUGCUGAGAUUACAGGCAUGAGCCACUGCACCUGGCCAAUUAUCAAAUUUAUUUACUGAUCUACUAAUCAUCAUGGUACAAGUAAUUCAAAAUGAAAAUAUCAUCUAUUAACAAAUUGUUUUGUGAAGCCAGAAAAAAAAAAGGGGUCCAGGUGCAGCUCACAGGAUUAGAGGUAGCCAGAGUUAUAAGGUUGGCAGGAACAGGGCUCCCAUGGUCAGUGGAAUGGGUCAGAGUUAUUGCAAGUGGGAAACACAGAGACAUGGGAAUUGGGGAUCACUUCAGUAGAUUUAGGGAUGUUCCAGUCAGUUAAGGCAGAGAACGAAGUACAGUGGGAAAGAAUGAGUCACAAGGCCUAUAGAAAAGGGAAGCAGGGUGAUGGAUUCUAGAACAACAUCAAAUCACAUGAGUAAGUUGUGAGUUACUUAAAUGUGUAAUCUAAAUUUGAAAUCAUAGAAGUAGAAAGUAGAACGUUUGUUGUCAGGUGCAGUGGCUCACGCCUGUAAUCCCAGAACUUUGAGAGGCUGAGGCAGGCGGAUCACAUGAUGUCAGGAGUUGCAGACCAGCCUGGGCACCAUAGUGAAACCCCAUCUCUACUGAAAAUACAAAAAUUAGCGGGGUGUUGUGGCGGGUGCCUGUAAUCCCAGCUACUUCGGAGGCAGAGACAGGAGAAUCACUUGAACCUGGGAGGCAGAGGUUGCAGUGAGUGGAGAUAGCACCACUGAACUCCAGCCUGGGUGGCACAUGGAGACUGUCUCAAAAACAUUAAAAAAAAAAAAAAGAAAAAGAAAAAGAAAGAAAAUAGAAUGUUCGUUACCAGAAGCUGGGAUGGUGGGUGGAGGAAAGCAGAAGUGUAGGUCAAAGGGUACAAAGAGAGAGAGGAAGCAAGAAGGAGAAGGUAAUUCAAGAUGAAGAAGAAAGUAUAAGCCAAGUGUUUAGAGUUAGAAAAUGCCAGCCUGCAAAAGCUAGGCUAUUAGCUGUGCAAAGGGCCUCCACUAUUUACUACAUGUGUGACCUUGGAUGAGUUAGUUAACGUGUCUCUGCUUCAUUUCCUUCAUACAUAAAAUGGUGCAACCUCAGUGAAGUGUUAAGAAUAACUUUAAAUUUUAUAUAUAUAUAUAUAUAUAUAUAUAUAUACACACACA